AGGACUAUAGCUCAGUUGGUUAGAGCGCAUCCUUGACAUGGAUGAGGUCGGCAGUUCGAAUCUGCCUAGUCCUACCA
rnacentral:tRNA from 1 species